rnacentral:rRNA from 1 species
UACGGAGGAUGCGAGCGUUAUCCGGAUUUAUUGGGUUUAAAGGGUGCGUAGGCGGGCUUUUAAGUCAGCGGUAAAAAUUCGGGGCUCAACCCCGUCGAGCCGUUGAAACUGGCAGACUUGAGUUGGCGAGAAGUACGCGGAAUGCGCGGUGUAGCGGUGAAAUGCAUAGAUAUCGCGCAGAACUCCGAUUGCGAAGGCGGCGUACCGGCGCCAGACUGACGCUGAGGCACGAAAGCGUGGGGAUCGAACAGG